CUAGUUGGUGAGGUAACGGCCCACCAAGGCGACGAUCGGUAGCCGGACUGAGAGGUUGAACGGCCACAUUGGGACUGAGACACGGCCCAGACUCCUACGGGAGGCAGCAGUGGGGAAUAUUGCACAAUGGGGGAAACCCUGAUGCAGCGACGCCGCGUGGAGGAAGAAGGUCUUCGGAUUGUAAACUCCUGUUGUUGAGGAAGAUAAUGACGGUACUCAACAAGGAAGUGACGGCUAACUACGUGCCAGCAGCCGCGGUAAAACGUAGGUCACAAGCGUUGUCCGGAAUUACUGGGUGUAAAGGGAGCGCAGGCGGGAAGACAAGUUGGAAGUGAAAUCCAUGGGCUCAACCCAUGAACUGCUUUCAAAACUGUUUUUCUUGAGUAGUGCAGAGGUAGGCGGAAUUCCCGGUGUAGCGGUGGAAUGCGUAGAUAUCGGGAGGAACACCAGUGGCGAAGGCGGCCUACUGGGCACCAACUGACGCUGAGGCUCAAAAGUGUGGGUAGCAAACAGGAUUAGAUACCCUGGUAGUCCACACUGUAAACGAUGAUUACUAGGUGUUGGAGGAUUGACCCCUUCAGUGCCGCAGUUAACACAAUAAGUAAUCCACCUGGGGAGUACGACCGCAAGGUUGAAACUCAAAGGAAUUGACGGGGGCCCGCACAAGCAGUGGAGUAUGUGGUUUAAUUCGACGCAACGCGAAGAACCUUACCAAGUCUUGACAUCCUGCGACGGUUCUGGAAACAGAACUUUCCUUCGGGACGCAGAGACAGGUGGUGCAUGGUUGUCGUCAGCUCGUGUCGUGAGAUGUUGGGUUAAGUCCCGCAACGAGCGCAACCCUUAUGGUCAGUUACUACGCAAGAGGACUCUGGCCAGACUGCCGUUGACAAAACGGAGGAAGGUGGGGAUGACGUCAAAUCAUCAUGCCCUUUAUGACUUGGGCUACACACGUACUACAAUGGCGUUAAACAAAGAGAAGCAAGACCGCGAGGUGGAGCAAAACUCAGAAACAACGUCCCAGUUCGGACUGCAGGCUGCAACUCGCCUGCACGAAGUCGGAAUUGCUAGUAAUCGCAGAUCAGCAUGCUGCGGUGAAUACGUUCCCGGGCCUUGUACACACCGCCCGUCACACCAUGAGAGCCGGGGGGACCCGAAGUCGGUAGUCUAACCGCAAGGAGGACGCCGCCGAAGGUAAAACUGGUGAUUGGGGUGAAGUCGUAACAAGGUAGCCGUAGGAGAACCUGCGGCUG
rnacentral:rRNA from 1 species